rnacentral:rRNA from 1 species
GACGUAGGGCGCGAGCGUUGUCCGGAUUUAUUGGGCGUAAAGAGCUCGUAGGCGGCUUGUCGCGUCGUCCGUGAAAACCUGCGGCUCAACUGCAGGCUGGCGGUCGAUACGGGCAGGCUGGAGUUCGGUAGGGGAGACUGGAAUUCCUGGUGUAGCGGUGAAAUGCGCAGAUAUCAGGGAGGAACACCCGUGGCGAAAGCGGCUCUCUGGGACGGUACUGACGCUGAGACGCGGAAAGCGUGGGGGAGCAAACAGG